ensembl:lncRNA
CCUUUGGGGUCAGCGGGGCUGUAAAUGUCACUCUGAAUUGAUGAACUGUUGUUCGAGCUGACUUGUCAAAUAAAGAUUCUCAGUUUCACACCAAACGAUCCGCGUGUUUCGAUCCGAGCGUCAAAACAAAUGUCUCUCUUUUCAUAUGUUGUGAUAUAACGUUAAAAAAAUGUCGGGUAAUCAAAGCAUUUUUCUAACAGCUGGUAACAGAGUCGGGGAAAGCUGGUUAAGACAAAGGUCCUUUUAAGAUACAAAGUGCAGGUGACCAACUUGUGCUCGUGUCAUGUAGCCGGCUGUCAGGCUGAAGCGCGGCUGAUUGUUAACACCCCACAGCGAGACCUGUUGCCCCGGGCUAUUAGUCAUCCUGACAAGCGCGGCGUACGUGCCAGUCUCUGGUCAUGACACACUUGUUUCCACCAUCUCCCCACCUUCUCACACCACUCCAGCUCUGAUAUGUUCCUAACGCAUAGUGGCAAGAGUGACACAAUGCCACUGACCCAAAACAAGCACCUAUCAAUUACUGAUGAAAGAGGCCUUUUACCUAUUUCUUACGUCAUGUUCAGAGUCGGGCGUGGAUGGGACUUAAAGCCAUGUCAAAGGUGAGUGAGAAAUAACUUGGACGGAGUAAUAAAGUAGUGCACACUCUUCAAAGUUUAGCAAUGUUGUAUCAAAUUAUUGAAUGAAUUGCUCUGUAGCUGGAAAUUUAAGAAGGUGCAUGUUAGUAUUGUGCAACUACUUACAGUAGUAAUCAUUUUAUGGUAAAUACAACUGUUUCUUUUCUUUAUUUGUUUGCUGCUGGUUAACUAAUGAACAACUUUAUAUGAUAUUACUUUUAGAAAUAUAAAUUGUAAAGCUUUCCAGGCUAAAUUUGGGAUUCUAGAGAAAAAAUAGGAAACAAAAAAAAUUAUUCAAUUGUUUUCUCCCUUCCUCAUUAUAUACUAUAACUUAUUUAAUGAUACAAUGUAUGGCUGUAGAGUCUGCGUGUUCUCCCACAGUCCAAAGACAUGCUCUGGGGAUCAGGUUGAUUGGUGCCUGUAGGUGUGUGGAUGUGAGUGUGAAUGGUUGUGUGUCUCUGUCGUGUACCCUGUCUCUCGCCCGAAGUUGGCUGGGAUGGACUCCAGCCCCCCCGCGACCCUGUGUGCAGGAUAAGCAGUUGGAUGGAUGGGUAUCAGUUUCUUUUCAUUGAUGGACAGAAAAGUAGCCCAUUAUCUGAAUAUGAUAAAAAUUGGAAAUUACCCGAUAAAAUACUUUUACUGCAGUUUUUUCACAAUACUUUGUCUUGUCUCCGCUAUGCUCACAUGUGGAUUCAACUUUAAUUUUGUUAGAGGAGGAGAUGUCGCUAUAAAAAUCAUAUUAAUCUGAUGUAUGCUGCUAUCGGUACACUUAACUUGCACAUCCUGAUUCUCCUUUUUUGUUCUCUGCAUGUCACGCUUAGAAGGCCACCAUAUUAAAAGAAGCAAAUUUCCUCCAUGAUGUGUUAAAUGCAAUCCUCUGCGAAAUGAGCAAAUGUAACGAUGUUAAUGUGGCCAUUCGUGCACACAAUGAUGCACUAAUGUAGACUGAUUUUGAGGUAUAAUAGAUGUUUAUUUUAAGCAUUGGUUUGCAAAAUUUGUCUGAGUUGUCAUACCAAUCUUAGACUGCUGUAAUAAAUAUAAGCAGUGAUUUAAUAUAAGACCAGGCAGGGAUUCAGCAUACUGUUAAAGUCAUUAUGAGCUUGCUCUUCUCUUUCAUCAUGUCCAGGUUGGAGGCCUCCCUUCGGGGGCUGCAAAGAGGAGACGUGAUCAGCGGAUCAAAUUUGGGGCCAUAGAUAAUGUAUUUGCUUAAUUUACAGCUUGGUGGUUUCUUAAUCUUGUCCUUUUCUGGUCCUGAGGUGACAAGCAAACGCUGUAUUCAGAAACUCUGAGGUGUAAUCAGCAAUCAGAAAUAGGAAGCCAGAUGUCGGGCCUUUAUAAAUGGUUUCCUCCGAGGAGUUUGAUUUAGUGUCCCGAGCGCAGUUAAACUUACAUUGUGCGUGUGUGUGUGUGUGUUGGAGUGAUGAGGGGAGA